CAUAACUUAUUCGUUGUUUAUUAUCCUAAUUUUCCUCUUUUUAAUUAUUUAAUUUUUGAAAAAUUAAAUAAAAAUAAAAUACCCAUUAGCAAUGAGCAAUAAAAAGCUUGUACAACGUCAACAAUAAUCACAGAUAAAGUGAAACAUUUGUGUGAUCAGCAAAGGGGCUCUGAGAAUCGAAAAAGUGUAAUAACAUAAUCAAUUAUGAGGAUCAAGAAAGGGAGUAAAGUUGAAGUAUUAAGCAAGGAAGAGUUGCCUUCAGGCUCCUGGCGUUGUGCUGAGAUCAUCUGUGGUAAUGGCCACAACUACACAGUUAGAUAUGAUGGGUACAAGGCUGCCCAUGGUGGGACAGUUGUGGAAAGGGUAUCCAGGAAGUCCGUUAGGCCUUUUCCUCCUCCACUUGAAGUUUCUGAGAACUGGGUUGCUGGCGAUGUUGUGGAGGUGUUUGACAAUUUUUCUUGGAAAAUGGCAACUGUUUCCCAGGUUUUGGGGGAUAAUUACUUUUUGGUCAGGUUACUUGGAUCCUCUCUGAAAUUUGAAGUCUUCAAGCUUGAUGUUCGGGUGAGACAGUCUUGGCAAGAUGACAAAUGGAUUGUGAUCGGAAAGGGUUCUGGCAAUUUUGAAGAUGCGAAACAUGAUAAAAAUCAAAUUCUGAAGUGCAAGCUAAACUUAAGCUCCCGAGUUGAGAAUUCAAACACAAGGAUGAAUGUAUGUGUAAAAGAAGACUGUUUUCCUGUUAAGAACAGAGUGACUUUCCAGGAAUCCCGUGAUGUUUCUUCUAAAACUUUGAAGAGAGGGUCAGCCUAUUGCCAUUCUCAAGCUGAGUUAUGUACAGGAGUUGCCCCGAAAUUCAGAGCAAUAGAGAAAGAAGGAAGGCGUCACAGAGUGGAAGCUGCCAAUUCUUCCACAUUGCCUAUGCAGGUAGAUGCUGUUGCUUUCCCGAGAGGGUUGCUGGGUGAAAACGUCAUCAAUGCUUCCUCUAACAACAGAACAACUGGGAUUUCUGAAGUGGAUGUAGAAAGGAGGAAAUCAACCGGCACUUUUGGGUGUUCAUUUGCAAACUUAGAAUCUAAUUUUGCUAAUGGUGUUUCUUGCUCUGUUGGUAGCUGCAGCAUCACUAGCAGCAGUUCCUAUAAGUUGCCUCAUAAUGUUUCUACAGGUCAUAUUAAGGAUGAUGAUGGCCAUUCUAGUGAUGCUGAAUCUUUUUUUCAGUGGGGAUAUGAGGAAGGAAAUUCUCUCCUUACUACAAAAGAGGAACUAGCAGCUGAAAUACAUAGGGCUGAAGUAGGAGGCUUGUGCACCUCACUUCCAAAUUUCCGAGGAGGAUGUUGGGGUUUGCCACCUAUCUCCGUCUAUUAGGGCAUCUGAUGAUGAACAGUUGAUUUCAUUAUAUUCUGCAAUCACUGGACUCUUCCAUUUCAGGCCACCUGUGAGCCUGAAAUAUCAGUGCUGCUGAAGGAUGUGAGACCAGAAUCUUGUGGCUGCCAUGGGAUGACCUGAUAUGUGGAUGCUUGACGGUUUCAUUUCAAGCCUUUGCUUCAGUUUGUUGUAGAUAACAUUGUUUGCCUGCUUAUGUGUGCUUUAUUCAUGAUAUGCUGUGAGUUGAUCACAUGAAAGUUUCCUACUUUUUACACCCGAGUCUGAUACUUGAAAUUUCUGAAGCCUGGUUUGACAGUCCUGCAAAAAUUUGGGUGUCACACUUCGGACCAUGCUUAUGACAUUGGGGGCAAAUUCUGACUAGGAAUUGGGACACUUAUGCAUACACUGAAUUUUUAAAAAGGAACACAGAAGCUAUUGUGGAGCUUGGAAUUUCAAAUUAAUAAGGUUAUAGCCUUAUCUGUUUGGGAGAUUCAAUGAGGACUUCAAUUGUCGUGAUAAUAUUACCUUAUCCAAUCACACAUUGAUGUUCUUGAUGGCAACUCUUAUUGCUCUCUAUUUAUGUGGCUUUACUAGAACAUAUUCACAGAUACUCGUAAAAAAAUACAAAGAUAUGCUUGGUACUCAUUACAUCAUUGGAAAAUGACAAGUUUUAAGAUCCAUCUUAGUGUUUCUUGAUUAUAUGAGCACAUUUUGGGCCCCAUUUCAGAAGCCAUUGGCAAUGCUUGCUAGCUAUACUAUCUUUUGUCAGAUAACAAGGCAUAAAUUUUAAGCUGUGGUUUUAUGGAUCAUAUGUUUUUAUGGAUCAUAAUUUUCAUGUUUUGGCAAAACUGAUAUUACUUAUUAGGUCUAGAUACUCAUUCAAAAGGUAAAUCCUCAUUAUAGUACUUGAUGAUUAGUCCUGAAGUUUGCACUUAAACAGGCAACUGAUGCUCACGUUGAUGUGAAAUUUUUCAACUUGCAGUAUUUCAAUUACAUUGUCCCUAGUUUUGUUAAUAAAUUGAAAUUGUAGCCUAGGUUGCCAGCCUCAAGCUCUUUGUAUAAACUGAUAAACAAGGACGGUACAUGAUCCACUGACCUUAUCCAGAUUCUUAUGUUGGGGUUGUUUCCAUGUGAAAUCUGUUGACGUGCAGCUCAGUAAGAAAUUGGAAAACUCCCCUGGUGAAGAAGUGGAGUACAGAGGUCAUCACAAAGCUGUAAUUGGUGUUUUCAUCAUUCAUCAAAGACCUUCUGCCCUCCGUGAAUGUUUUUUGUGUGUAAUUUCCUGUAUUCUGGAGCUCUACUAGACUAUGGACUGACACCAUUUGAAAGAAACUGGUGAAGCCUCAGUUCGAAAAGAGGUUGCAAGCGAGAUACAGUAUUUGUAAUUUUAGAGAAAACUUUUGAGAAUACAAUGAGAGAAAGAUGAUUUUAUUGGUAUGUUCAGAUGGGAUUGGUUAUGUAAAUGGUUUGAGAGUGUAUGCUAGUAGUCAUAUCAGUUGGUUCUUGAUUAAGGUAUUUUGGGCAAUGAAUGUUGUAUCCAACAAUUCAAUCCUUCUGUUCCCUUCACGUACUACUGGA